rnacentral:lncRNA from 1 species
UACACUUUUGUAUACGCUUCAUAAUAACAACAGCAAGGACGAUAGUGUUUUUAUUGUAAUCAUCCAUAGCAACGCUGCUUAAGAUCUACCAUUCCAGAAGUUUUGACACGAGAAUUUUAUGAAAAAAAUGAUACGCAAACACGAUGUUAAAAUAGAGGAUUCUUCAUUACGGAAAGGUCCUCUAUAUCGAAUAUUAGUGGCAUCUAAAGGUUGAAAUAACAAGAUAUUAGCUGCCAUCUUGCAAGAUUAUAAUAUAUAUCAAAAAAUAUAUUCCAACAAAUACUGAAUCUUCUUCUCUGACAAAUAAUACAAUGAUGAUAUACAAAAAGAUCCAAAUUGAAAAGGAAAAACUGUCACAAGUCAAAAUAUAAACAUAAAUCUUGUGAGCAAAACUGUUUUCUUCUGUCUUCUAAAAGAUCAUCCGAAAGAAUAUCGGCCAAAAUAAUUUUGUCGCAGUGAACAUGUUUCAAAUAUCAAGAUAAGAAGCACCAUGAUAAGAAGAAAUUAUGUAAUUAUGUAAGCUGUGGUGAUGAGUGUUGUCUUCUAAGCUUAAAAGAGUCUUUUUGUGGUUGUUUCUAUGCAUAGAAGGCUCAUGUCAAUAUAACGAAACUAAAGUAUGAAUAAGACAUUGAGACAAUAUUUUCAAAUCAUGUCAAUUUCAAUGACAAUUCUUCAAUUCUAUAGUUAAAACGUUUGAUCAAUUUUCUUGAAUAAUGGAAUGACGGAUUCUACAUUAUUCAGUAUUUCUCUUCAGUCUAAUUCUAGAAAUUUUAAUUAAGUGUUGUUGGCCCAUUAUGUGCCUCAAUGAGAAAUGUACUGAAAUAAAAGUGGAAAAGAACAAAAACAUUCCUAUAAAUCUGAAGAUAAUUAGAAAUUUAUAAACUCUUAAACUAUUUGGACUAAAUAAAGUUCUUAGAAGCUUUAUGAAUUCAGUAAACUUUGCAUCACAGUGCAUGUUUAUCAUCUUAAACUAUUUGGAUUAAAUAAAGUUCUUAGAAGCUUUAUGAAUUCAGUAAACUUUACAUCACAGUGUAUGUUUAUCAUGUGGACAAGUAUGGAAUAUUUUAAUAUGGACCCAAUAAUAAAGAAUUUCAGGCUAUUGAUUAUUACAUAAUAACACUAAUAAUUUAAGAAGCAGAGAUCGUCCGUGCAAUGUCAAUGAUAGAAAAAAAUGCUAUUGUUAGCCUUUGCAACAUCGGCCAUCUGAGAAGAAAAAUUUUAGUAUAAGAUUAGUUAUUAUUUAAUUUAAAAAAUAUUUAUUUAAUAAUAAAUGUCUUCCUUUUGUUCCAGUCGAUAUAUUGCCUUCUCAAACAGCAUAACAGAUUGUACGAGUACAAAUAUAUUCAACGGUUUAAACAUUCGAGAUGAUUAUUGGAGAAAAUGGAACGGAAUCCUUCGUUCUAAAAAUAUGUGUUGCAAACAGAUGAAGCGUUUGGCACAAGCGUUCGUUAAUCUAUCAUCUUUAUGGCAUUUGAUAUUAUUAUAUAUUGGAUUUAUAUAUGUAUACUACUACUACUAAUAGGCUAAAUAUUAAUAUUUAGUAUAAAAUUAGUAUAAAAUAUUUCUAGAAGAUAUUCUUUCUAAAUUCUAUUCUAAAAGAAAUUCCAUUACAGAUUUGAAACAUGAUCUUUCAACAUGAUAAUUCAUACCGCUAAAAAUAUCUAGGCCUAUUUUAGAUGAAAUCUUUCGAGACGGGAUAUGAAAUUUUGGAUUUUUUUUUUUUUGGAAAUAUUUGAAAAAUGAAGUGUACCGUUAUCCAUCAACAUUAAAUGGAGAAAAUGAGUACAUAGACGCGAAAUAAUGUUGGCUACAUAUCGAUUGAACACGAUAUAUAUGUAAUAAAUUAACCCAACAUAUCGAAGAAACUGUGUUACAUGUAACAAAUAUUUCUAUUUAUUAAUAAAAAAUACAUAAUUUGAGUAAAAAGGAAUA